rnacentral:lncRNA from 1 species
CCCAUUGACUCUAAUGGUUGACAUGCUUCAUUCCCUCCCUUUCACAGCCUCUACCUUACCACCAAGAGAGUGGAGGACAUCGUCCUGAGGCUCGUCUCCUUGCGCCAGGCCUUCACUGUGAGUGGACCCACUGUUCUUUUUGUCUCUGUGACUUCUUGUUCUGUCUCCAAGAGGAAGAGGUCUCACCCUAACUCUUCCCUAGACCCUGCUUGGUUCCACCCUGAGCAGGAACCAUCUGUUUGUGGCAGGAAAGGCCCUCCUGGGCGGCCUUGUUCAGGCCAACCACAUGGUAACUCACUAACUCAUUCUCUUUCAAGGGAAAGAGAGCGUCCCUGAGGGGAAAUGUGUUCUGUUCACUAAGAUGCUCUUUUCUUUGUCAUAGGACGAGGCCAAAUUCAUCCGUACCUAUAACGACUUUGUGGACUACCUGAGUGACCCCUCCAAGCGGAAUGACAUUGAGAGGGAGCUGGCUGAGGCAAAGGUGAGUUCAUUAACUCUUUCAAGUCUCACUGAGUUCUUCCACAUGCAUGUCUUUUAUACAUCACAGUAGCUGAUCUAUAUGAAAUCAUUCCUAUUUUCUACAAAUGUGUUUUCUUGUCCUAGAUCCAUCAUGUGAACAUGAUAGAUGUCCUCUUUGAGCUGGUGCUGUUUGGGAUGAUGACAGCUCAGAAGUCCCUGAUGGUGCACCCUGGUGGGUUCGUGGAGCGUCUGUACGCUCUCCUGUCCUCCUUCCUGCCCACUGCUGCCAACAUGGAGCCAGAGGCUGAUAGAAUCCUACUGCUGCUCAAUGGCGGACUGAUGGCUCUGCUAGAUGACAUGUUUGGCCAGCAGCUGGCCUGGUAUUUUAACUCCGAGUCUCUGGUCACUGAGCUCUCCAUCCUCCUGGAGUACCACUUGGAGAACCUCAUGGCCAGCAUGUAGUCCUACUGCAGGGACCAUACUCCUUUCUCCUUCUCUCUCUCUUUUGAAGGAAUUGAGGACUUGAAGUGCUUUGUUGAACCCUGAUUAGUUAACACCCAUUAAUUUAAUGUAUUCUCUUGUUUUCUCUCCCCACAGGAUUAUUGUGACACUUUGCCACCCAACAGGGAUCUAGACACCAAUGCACUACAUUACUUUGCACUGAAUUUGACAUUUUUUAAAUAAAAUAAGUUGUAGUUCAAAAUCAUUUUUGUUUC